GACAGAGGUGCCGAGCGUUAGGCGGAAUCACUGGGCGUAAAGCGCGCGCAGGCGGCUAUCCAAGUCAGUGGUGAAAGCCCGGAGCUCAACUCCGGAACUGCCAUUGAAACUGUUUAGCUUGAGGAUGAGAGAGGUGAGUGGAAUUCCCAGUGUAGAGGUGAAAUUCGUAGAUAUUGGGAAGAACACCGGUGGCGAAGGCGGCUCACUGGCUCAUUACUGACGCUCAGGCGCGAUAGCGUGGGGAUCAAACAGG
rnacentral:rRNA from 1 species